AUGGUCCACUCGAGCUGCCACGUCGUCGGGACGAUAACGUCGCUGUUUCGCCGCUACUACCACCGCCGCCACGGCUACAAGCCGAUCCAGCGGUGCGACGCCGAGGAGGAGGAAGAAACCGAAAAGGUGCAGGGCGGCGUGCUUUUCGAGUUUCGCCGCUACUACAACCGCCGGCGCGGCUACAAGCCGAUCCCGCGGUGCGACGUGGGGGAGGAGGACGCCGCCGAAAAGGCGCAGGACGGGAGCAAAAGCGUGCUGUGCGAGGGGUGCAAGAAGGUGAUCCUCAAGUGCGAGGAAGAGCUGGAUGGGGAGGGUCCGGAGGGGUGCGGCGACCGGCUCAUGGCCCGGUGCAGGUUGCGGAGCCGGAGCGAGACGAGCUUCGCCGGCUGGAAGGACUUGGCCGACGCGUCCUACAUGUACACCCGAGCCGGAAGCUGGAGAAAAGCGGUGCAGGCAUACGGCGAGUUAGCCGCCUAUUCCCUCAGGAGAGGAAGCGAGCGCUCUACAUUGCUGCAGAGACGAAGCGAGCUGAGCGCAGGGUCGGCGCUGCUCCGUUCGGCGAAAUGCUACGGCGAGAUCGAGGAGAAAAGAGAGGAGGACGUCGCCGCCAUGAAGCUCGCGCUGGAGGAGGCCCUCGCGCUGUUCGUCAAGCACGGCGACCAGAGGCUGGCCGCCACCGCCUGCUCCGACCUAGCCGAGUUCCACCUGGACCGUAACGACCUCCAGGACGCGCUCCUCUUCUACGAGCGAGCUGCCGAGUACUACGGCACCGCUGCCAACCGGCGAUCCAACCGCUUCUGCAGGUUCAGGGCUCAGCUUGUCACCUAUCUGCUCGCAAACCAAGAGGCGCUUCACGCCAAUGGAGCGUUGCCCAUUCACGACUACAAACGGAAGUGCGUGGGAUACAUGAAGCCCAGCGAUCCUGAUUGGCUUCUUCUGCUGGGCCAGAUGCUCGGCACCAGCAGCGUAGCGCACGACUAUCAGCCUUUUUGA
rnacentral:rRNA from 1 species